UGGGGAAUAUUGGACAAUGGGGGGAACCCUGAUCCAGCCAUGCCGCGUGUGUGAAGAAGGCCUUAUGGUUGUAAAGCACUUUAAGCGAGGAGGAGGGUACUGGUAUUAAUACUACCAGCUACUGGACGUUACUCGCAGAAUAAGCACCGGCUAACUCUGUGCCAGCAGCCGCGGUAAUACAGAGGGUGCAAGCGUUAAUCGGAAUUACUGGGCGUAAAGCGCGCGUAGGUGGUUCGUUAAGUUGAAUGUGAAAGCCCCGGGCUCAACCUGGGAACUGCAUCCAAAACUGGCGAGCUAGAGUAGGGCAGAGGGUGGUGGAAUUUCCUGUGUAGCGGUGAAAUGCGUAAAUAUAGGAAGGAACACCAGUGGCGAAGGCGACCACCUGGGCUCAUACUGACACUGAGGUGCGAAAGCGUGGGGAGCAAACAGG
rnacentral:rRNA from 1 species